CCACAUCUCCUUCCUUUCUUUCCUGCCCUGCCCACGCCGCUGCUUCUGCCUAUCUACUUUUUCUCAGACGCCAUUGCUGUAGAGUUGCUGCACGGGGCGCCCUCCCCCAUGAAGCGCGGCAUCGUGAGAGUUGUUGCUGCUGCACGGGAUGCCAUCACCAUGGCCGCGCCCUUCGCCAUGGCCGAACGCGACGGGGCCGAACACCGGCGCUACUACGACAGGGGGCCAUGGCCUGCGAGCUCAUAGGCCAGGGUGGCCAUGGCUUACGAGCUCGAGGCAUGUUAUUUAUAACUCCAGAUUUUGCUUUCAUGUUUGUUUUUGCUGGAACCAGUGUACUAAUUUGUUACCACCGUCUUCGUUUUUUGCUGGAACUAACCAAAUUUUGCUGCCAUGUCUUUUUGUUGGAAUCAUUUUGUAGCACUUUUUUGCUACAACAGUUUUGGUUUUUUGCUACUACCGGCACUGUCGUUUGUUACAUCCUUUUUCAUGAGGUUGUCGAGACCCUGCGACUGUGUGUUUUGCUACAACCUUGUACAUUUUUUGCUACAACCUUGUGCAUUUUUUGCUACUACUAGAGAAGCCCCUAACUGGACCACAAGUUGUUUUUGCUAUAACCGUUUUGUGGUUUGCUGCAACCAAUGUCAAUUUUUGCUAUCACCGGCUUCUUGAUUUUUCUGGAACCAGCGCUCGAUUUUUCAUUUUUGCUACCACUAGCGUUUUGAUUUGCUGGAACAAGCUUCAAUUUUUGCUACCAUCAGGUUUUUGGUUUGUUGGAACGGCAUCGAUUUUUUCCAAUUUUGCUACCAACGUUUUAUUGGUUUUUGCUGGAACCGUCAAGAAUUUUUGCUACGACCGGUGGAAUUUUUUGCUGCGACUGGCAAAUUAAGGACGAGGAACAACACGAGCUCUACGACGGGUGCUGCGGCCGGCGACGUGUGGCUCUGCGAGCCGUGGGGGGCCUCGUCGGAGAUGCGCCGCGGGGGCCUUGCUGGAGCUGGGCCUCGCCGGAGAUGCGCCGCGGGGGCCUUGCUGGGCCUCGCCGGAGAUGCGCCGCGGGAGCCUUGCUGGAGCUGCGCGGUGCUGCGAGCCACGGGGGAUCUCACCGGAGAUGCGCCGUGCUGUGAGCCGCGGAGGAUCUCGCCGGAUAUGCGCCACGGGGCCUGAGGAAGAAGAAGGUGCAGCCACAGGCCCAGCGAAACAACGGGAGGAACCCGUCAGGCGAAGGCCCAACCCAGCAACGUGGAAAUUCAAUCUUGCGUGGGCUUCGACUUUGCGUGAGCUCUUUAAUCAGCGCCACAGAUGAUCUAUAUAGAAAUAAUAACUUCACUAUAGAUGACAUCUUCUUGUCUGGCUAGUUGGCAACAACUUGGAUGUCUCACGUACAUGUCGUGUGUUCGAUUCCUGUCUCUUGCGAUUAUAUUUUUAAUCUUCAACAGACUUCCGGUUU